ACUCCUGCGGGAGGCAGCAGUGGGGAAUUUUGGACAAUGGGCGAAAGCCUGAUCCAGCAAUGCCGCGUGAGUGAAGAAGGCCUUCGGGUUGUAAAGCUCUUUUGUCAGGGAAGAAACGGUGAAAGCUAAUAUCUUUUGCUAAUGACGGUACCUGAAGAAUAAGCACCGGCUAACUACGUGCCAGCAGCCGCGGUAAUACGUAGGGUGCAAGCGUUAAUCGGAAUUACUGGGCGUAAAGCGUGCGCAGGCGGUUUUGUAAGUCUGAUGUGAAAUCCCCGGGCUCAACCUGGGAAUUGCAUUGGAGACUGCAAGGCUAGAAUCUGGCAGAGGGGGGUAGAAUUCCACGUGUAGCAGUGAAAUGCGUAGAUAUGUGGAGGAACACCGAUGGCGAAGGCAGCCCCCUGGGUCAAGAUUGACGCUCAUGCACGAAAGCGUGGGGAGCAAACAGGAUUAGAUACCCCAGUAGUCCC
rnacentral:rRNA from 1 species